GUGCGGUCACAAAAAACAUCGCUUUUUGAACGUUGGCUUUGCCAACGGCCUUUGGGGGAGCUAUCCUUAAAAGGAUUGCGAAUAAAAAUCCGAU
rnacentral:ncRNA from 1 species